rnacentral:rRNA from 1 species
GACGAACGCUGGCGGCGUGCCUAACACAUGCAAGUCGAGCGAGUGAAUCUCCUUCGGGAGUGAAGCUAGCGGCGGACGGGUGAGUAACACGUGGGCAACCUGCCUCAUAGAGGGGAAUAGCCUUUCGAAAGGAAGAUUAAUACCGCAUAAGAUUGUAGCUUCGCAUGAAGUAGCAAUUUAAGGAGCAAUCCGCUAUGAGAUGGGCCCGCGGCGCAUUAGCUAGUUGGUGAGGUAACGGCUCACCAAGGCGACGAUGCGUAGCCGACCUGAGAGGGUGAUCGGCCACAUUGGGACUGAGACACGGCCCAGACUCCUACGGGAGGCAGCAGUGGGGAAUAUUGCACAAUGGGGGAAACCCUGAUGCAGGAACGCCGCGUGAGUGAUGACGGCCUUCGGGUUGUAAAGCUCUGUCUUCAGGGACGAUAAUGACGGUACCUGAGGAGGAAGCCACGGCUAACUACGUGCCAGCCGCCGCCGUAA